rnacentral:rRNA from 1 species
GACGAACGCUGGCGGCAUGCCUAACACAUGCAAGUCGAACGGAGAUUAUUUCGGUAAUCUUAGUGGCGAACGGGUGAGUAACGCGUGGGCAACCUGCCCUCUAGAUGGGGACAACAUCCCGAAAGGGGUGCUAAUACCGAAUGUGACAGCAAUCUCGCAUGAGGAUGCUGUGAAAGAUGGCCUCUAUUUAUAAGCUAUCGCUAGAGGAUGGGCCUGCGCCUGAUUAGCUAGUUGGUGGGGUAACGGCCUACCAAGGCGAUGAUCAGUAGCCGGUCUGAGAGGAUGAACGGCCACAUUGGGACUGAGACACGGCCCAGACUCCUACGGGAGGCAGCAGUGGGGAAUCUUCCGCAAUGGGCGAAAGCCUGACGGAGCAAUGCCGCGUGAGUGAUGAAGGAAUUCGUUCCGUAAAGCUCUUUUGUUUAUGACGAAUGUGCAGAUUGUGAACAAUGAUCUGUAAUGACGGUAGUAAACGAAUAAGCCACGGCUAACUACGUG